AACGAACGCUGGCGGCAGGCUUAACACAUGCAAGUCGAACGCCCCGCAAGGGGAGUGGCAGACGGGUGAGUAACGCGUGGGAAUCUACCCAGUUCUGCGGAACAACAGUUGGAAACGACUGCUAAUACCGCAUACGCCCUACGGGGGAAAGAUUUAUCGGAAUUGGAUGAGCCCGCGUAAGAUUAGCUAGUUGGUGAGGUAAUGGCUCACCAAGGCGACGAUCUUUAGCUGGUCUGAGAGGAUGAUCAGCCACACUGGGACUGAGACACGGGCCAGACUCCUACGGGAGGCAGCAGUGGGGAAUAUUGGACAAUGGGCGCAAGCCUGAUCCAGCCAUGCCGCGUGAGUGAUGAAGGCCUUAGGGUUGUAAAGCUCUUUCAGUAGGGAAGAUAAUGACGGUACCUACAGAAGAAGCCCCGGCUAACUUCGUGCCAGCAGCCGCAGUAAGAC
rnacentral:rRNA from 1 species